UAGGGUUGUAUUUAAAUAUAAUAUGGAAUUUGCAUUUCCAAGGUGCAAUUAUGCCAAUCUUAAC
rnacentral:tRNA from 1 species